rnacentral:rRNA from 1 species
GAAUGCUGACAUAAGUAACGAUAAAGCGGGUGAAAAGCCCGCUCGCCGGAAGACCAAGGGUUCCUGUCCAACGUUAAUCGGGGCAGGGUGAGUCGACCCCUAAGGCGAGGCCGAAAGGCGUAGUCGAUGGGAAACAGGUUAAUAUUCCUGUACUUGGUGUUACUGCGAAGGGGGGACGGAGAAGGCUAUGUUAGCCGGGCGACGGUUGUCCCGGUUUAAGCAUGUAGGCGGAGGUUCCAGGUAAAUCCGGUACCUUUUAACGCUGAGGUGUGAUGACGAGGCACUACGGUGCUGAAGUAACAAAUGCCCUGCUUCCAGGAAAAGCCUCUAAGCAU